UUUGAAAAGAGAGUUAAAAAGUACGCGAAACCGUUGGAAGGGAAGCGAAUAGAGCUGACAAUUCCGUACUUGGUUUCGAUCUUUCUAGACGAACCUUGGACGUUUGCGUUGCCUGAACGGCGCACUUCCGCUUGGCGAAAGUCAACGUCGGUUUGCGUGGUGUCAAAAAGCAGUAAGCACGGUAGGUCUCAAGGUUUGCGUGCAAUUCAUGCAGACCGGUAGCAGUACGUACCUGCAGGUUGAUGUCUUCGUCGUUGAGUCGGUUUAACGUCGCUGGAUGGACGGCAUUGCCUGUGCGUCUGCGUGCGGCCGCUCAGACGAUGGGGAAAACAGACACGACGUGCUGAGGACGUUGGCAAUUCCGUGACUCUAUCCGACCCGUCUUGAAACACGGACCAAGGAGUCUAACAUGUGCGCAAGUCUCAGAGUGAUUGAAACUCGCUGGGCAUAAUGAAAGUGAAUGCAGUCUUGGCUGCAGAGAUGAGAGGCGUGGCGGCAUCAUUGACCGACCUAUUCUACUCUUAGAAAGGUUUGAGUUAGAGCGCACCUGUUGGGACCCGAAAGAUGGUGAACUAUGCCUGAAUAGGGCGAAGCCAGCGG
rnacentral:rRNA from 1 species